GACGAACGCUGGCGGCGCGCCUAACACAUGCAAGUCGAACGAGAGAUGAAGAGCUUGCUCUUCAGAUCGAGUGGCGAACGGGUGAGUAACGCGUGAGGAACCUGCCUCAAAGAGGGGGACAACAGUUGGAAACGACUGCUAAUACCGCAUAAGCCCACGGGUCGGUAUCGACCAGAGGGAAAAGGAGCAAUCCGCUUUGAGAUGGCCUCGCGUCCGAUUAGCUAGUUGGUGAGGUAAUGGCCCACCAAGGCGACGAUCGGUAGCCGGACUGAGAGGUUGAACGGCCACAUUGGGACUGAGACACGGCCCAGACUCCUACGGGAGGCAGCAGUGGGGAAUAUUGCACAAUGGGGGAAACCCUGAUGCAGCGACGCCGCGUGGAGGAAGAAGGUCUUCGGAUUGUAAACUCCUGUUGUUGAGGAAGAUAAUGACGGUACUCAACAAGGAAGUGACGGCUAACUACGUG
rnacentral:rRNA from 1 species